rnacentral:lncRNA from 1 species
CGUUCAGGCAGCGAUUAUUUCUCAUCGCAUCCAUCUGCUCCAUUUCAUGCUUGUUCUGGGGUGCGGUGGCCCAGGACUGAGGUGGGCACGUAGCUUAGACUUGCCCAUCUUCUCUUGGCUUCUGCCAGCUUCCUACCUGUUUUCAACCUCUUCUCCCUCUUAUACUCUUUGUUCAGUUUGUGCUCUGGACUUUUGCCGUCUCCAACUUCCUUAGCUGGGCUCUGCCCUUCAUAUGUCCGCUUGUAGAUAAGGUUCAUCUGAUAAUAGCGAACUCUAAUCAAAUGGACCCAGGAGCUCCCUUUUAGGGAUGGAAUGUAUCUGAAGGGUGGGGAAAGGCUGUCGGGGAUGGGAAACCUGGGACAUGAAUUUAGACAUUUGAAAUGGCUACCCCAAGAUCACAAGACUGCUUCGUGACAGACCUGGGAACUUUAUUUUUAUCUCCCAGCUGCUGGAUGUAGUCCAUCCCCAGGUAAACCGAGGGGCUCUCUGCCAAGUCAGUGAACUCAAAGCUUCCCAGGAUGGAGCCCCUAUUUUAACAUAGAUGAUUAGAGCAUCACCAGGUCUUCAAAGUCAAUGAAGCACAGUUCACUAUCCUGUAAUAUCCAGAACCAACCUUAUAAAUAAAAUAACAUUCAACUUCUAUGUAAUAUGGACCACAAAUGACAAAAGACCACAUGAUGAUAUUAAAAGGCACCAAAUAUCUUCAUAGCGGUGACUAUACAGAAAGGACCCCCACUCUGACUCCUCUCCAGCUUCCUUUCUGUGCCUUUAAAGCUCACUGAGGAGUUCCCGCCAUGGCACAGCGGGUUGAGAAUCUGACUGUAGCGGCUCUGGUCACUUCAGAGGUAAAAGUUCCAUCCACAGCCCAGCACAGGGGGAUUAAAGAUCUGGCUCUGGUGCAGCUGCCUGUGGCAAAGGUCACAGCUGUGGCUUGGAUUCAGUCCCUGACAGAGGAACUUCCAUAUGCUGCAUGGGUGGCCAUAAAAUUUUAAAAAUAAAACAGGAGUUCCUGUUGUGGGCUCAGGUGGCUAAGAACCCCACAUAGUGUCCGUGAAGAUGCAGGUUCAAUUCCUGGCCUCAGCCAGUGACUGAGUGGGUUAAGGAUCCAGCAUUGCCACAAACAGCGGUGUAGUUUGCAGAUCUGGCUCAGAUCCCUUGUUGCCGUGGCUGUGGUGUAGGCCUGAAGCUGCAGCUCCCAUUCAACCCUUUGCCCAGGAACUUCCAUAUGCUGCACGUGCGGCCCUAAAAA